rnacentral:rRNA from 1 species
CGAAGCCGGUGGAGUAACCAUUUAUGGAGCUAGCCGUCGAAGGUGGGACAAAUGAUUGGGGUGAAGUCGUAACAAGGUAGCCGUAUCGGAAGGUGCGGCUGGAUCACCUCCUUUCUAAGGA